rnacentral:tRNA from 2 species
GUCUCGUUGGCUCAGCCCGAUAGAGCUAGUGAUUUGUAAUCACUAGGUCGCGUGUUCAAAUCACGCACGGGGUU